rnacentral:rRNA from 1 species
GACGAACGCUGGCGGCGUGCCUAAUACAUGCAAGUUGAGCGAUGAAGAUUGGUGCUUGCACCAAUUUGAAGAGCAGCGAACGGGUGAGUAACGCGUGGGGAAUCUGCCUUUGAGCGGGGGACAACAUUUGGAAACGAAUGCUAAUACCGCAUAACAACUUUAAACAUAAGUUUUAAGUUUGAAAGAUGCAAUUGCAUCACUCAAAGAUGAUCCCGCGUUGUAUUUGCUAGUUGGUGAGGUAAAGGCUCACCAAGGCGAUGACACAUAGCCGACCUGAGAGGGUGAUCGGCCACAUUGGGACUGAGACACGGCCCAAACUCCUACGGGAGGCAGCAGUAGGGAAUCUUCGGCAAUGGACGAAAGUCUGACCGAGCAACGCCGCGUGAGUGAAGAAGGUUUUCGGAUCGUAAAACUCUGUUGGUAGAGAAGAACGUUGGUGAGAGUGGAAAGCUCAUCAAGUGACGGUAACUACCCAGAAAGGGACGGCUAACUACGUG